CUGAAGCUACAUCUAUAUUGGGAUUAGCGUAGAUAAAAUUCUAGAACAAAGAAUAGUUCGGUCUUGGCCUCGGGUGAACGGAGUGUGUAGGAGGUCCCCCGCCACCUACACACGCUCGUACAUAUAUAUGUACGUAUAUAAGAGUACUUAUGUACAUACGCUCAUAGUACAUGCAUAUGUAUGCAUACAUAUGAAUAUAAUACUCUAUUUGUACCACCAAACAAUAGAGUACUGGAGAGUGGAGUUCAAGGCUGAAAUUUUAUCUUGUCUUGGCAGUACCUUCAGGAAAACCUAAACACAUACAUUUUUUAUGGUUAUGCAAAUAUUAAUAUAUUUAUACGAGCGGGGGGCUCUGGCACCCACCGAACGUGGAAUAGAAAGAAAGAGCGAGCACGUGGGAGAUAUGAUCAUUCCUAUUAUGCUGCGUCUUCAGAUAAAAGAAAUCUUCCAAAUUGUGGAUGACACAAGUUUUCGCGAUUUAAACACCAAACUCGGUUGCUCCAGCUUUUAAAGUCUCUAAGGACUAGACGAUAAACAAGACGGUCGGACGGACAGACGUGGCUAUAUUACCUCGAUUUUUGAUGCUGAUCAAGAAUAUAUACAUAUGUAUUUAUAUACAUGAAUUUAAUAUACUGUGCAGUCUGUAAUAUACAUACUGUGUAUAGUAAUACGUAUAAUAAAGCAACCGAAUGUGAUGUGGCGCUCACUUGUGGGAUUAAGUCAUCAGAUUGCCAUGUCUUGUCUUCUUCUUGUCUUUCGACCAAAAUUUAGUUAUUUAAAUUAUGGUUUUCACAAGUUUAAGACCCUUCUGCAGCAGCGGCAAAAAUUGUAAACAUACAUAAAUAUGUAGUUACAUCAAGAUGAACCGCACAACAUGGCUAGUUUCAAUGAUUGAACUCAUCGUUUGAUCACAACUAAUAUUGUCUUUAUAAGCAUUUACAUCAUAUAUACAUAUUUACAGAAUAGACAUCGGAUAAAUAGACGUCAUAUACAGACAUAUAAACAUGUAUAUUUUUUAAAUUUAAAAUAUGUUACACCAUUGAUGCUGUGGAAUCAAUAUUAUGCAUUCUUCUGUACUCUUGGAGAUGUUCAUUCAGCGCCGUUUUUCGUCUAUGGCGAACAAAGCCUUGUUUUUUUUCGACUUAAAAGCUAUGGUCUGGUGUAGAAAAGAUGAGCUCGUAUGGCUAGACAAAAUAUUAUAUUGGAACCUAAAAACGAAAACUACCAACGCCCACGACCGUUUCCAGCUGCGCCACCACCACCGCGUCCUCUGUUAAAUCCUCCGUUUCCACGCCCGGCUCCUCUAAAACCACUGCCUCCAAAGCUGUUACGUGCACCCCGUCCACCUAAUUUGAAUAUAUAUAAAUGUAUUAGAUUAUUACAAUAUAAAUGAAAGAAAAUAUAUUUGAUUUAAAA